CGCACCUUGCACUCCUUGGUAUUCCGAGGAGUAUGCCUGUUUGAGUGUCAUUAAAUUCUCAACCAUACAAGUUUUUUCUUAGUAUGGCUUGGAUUUUGGGAUCUGCGGGUUCAUCUCUGAAUCGGCUGUCCUUAAAUGCAUUAGCAAGACUUUUGUUGCUAACUUCCAGUGUGAUAAUAUCUACGCUGUUAGUGAGCCGCAUGAAUGGAGUUCUGCUUCUAAUCGUCUUCACAGACAACCUAUGACAAUCUGACCUCAAAUCAGGUAGGACUACCCGCUGAACUUAA
rnacentral:misc_RNA from 1 species